AUAUGAUAGACGUGGAUGAAGGUCAAAGAGGCCAAGUACAAGAUAACGAUAAUUGAGUGCAUGGCGUCACUUUCACAUCUCCAUGUUCCUCACAUUCUCACCACCCGCUUAUCUACUGUCCAGAAAAAACAAGUCUACGCAGCAGCUUCUUCUGUUGAAUCCAACUCAAGAAGAGCUCUCCUUUUCUCAUCUGUAUCCACUGCAUUAUCACUACUAAUAUGUUCUGAAUCUACUGCCCUCGCUAGACCCACCACCAUUUCUGACUUUUUCGAGCUUCCGGAUUCUGGCGGCGUCAAGGCUUUGGAUCUUCGCGUUGCUCAAGGUGAACUUCCCGUUGACGGUGAUCAGGUUGCAAUUCAUUACUAUGGAAGGUUGGCAGCAAAGCAAGGUUGGCGGUUUGAUUCAACAUAUGAUCACAAAGAUGAAACGGGGGAACCAAUUCCCUUCACUUUCGUGCUUGGGUCUGACAAUGUGAUAUCAGGUAUUCAAGCAGCGGUAAGAUCUAUGAAAGUGGGCAGCAUCCGAAGGGUGGUCAUUCCUCCAUCCCAAGGGUAUCAGAACAUGUUACAAGAACCAUUACCACCAAAUGUGGGUACGCUCUCUCUGUGUCCCUAUCUUCUCUUGACCUGUUAUACUUAGAUGCACCUCGGCACCUGUCACCUUGUUUAUACAAGAAGCACAAUUAGCUAUGCAGAACAAAAGGUCAUGGAUUCUUAAGAAUCAACGAGUAUUUUGACAGGCAAAGGUUGUUUACCACCAUUUUUAAUCCAACGCGUCUAGCCAACGGGGAAGGCUCCACUCUGGGGACACUUAUCUUUGACAUUGAGUUGGUUAGCCUGAGACAUCGCUAAACUCCUGGAACACAUCAUCUUCUAUUGCAGCCACACGGGCGAUACCUUGUUAACUUUUCAAUGUACCAAGUACUCUUCCACUGUCCUGUAUCAUCUUCUGUAAAUUAUAUCACAGCUAUGAUAACAUAAUUGAUACGAUUAGAUUAGAAGCCAGCGCUUGGUUCACUUGGAAAUUUGUUAAUAAAGUGAAAAUGGAAUUAAAUUUGUCCCAGUAUAAAA